CCAAUAGCGUAUAUUAAAGUUGUUGCAGUUAAAAAGCUCGUAGUUGAAUUUCGGGAUUAGUACGCUGGUCGUGCCUUCGGUAUGUACUGGUGUUACUGGUUCCUACCUUCUGACGAACCGUCAUGUCAUUAAUUUGGUGUGGCGGGAAAUCAGGACUGUUACUUUGAAAAAAUUAGAGUGUUUAAAGCAGGCUCGCGCUUGAAUACAUUAGCAUGGAAUAAUGAAAUAGGACGUUCGAUCCUAUUUUGUUGGUUUCUAGGAUUGACGUAAUGAUUAAUAGGGAUAGUUGGGGGCAUUAGUAUUCAAUUGUCAGAGGUGAAAUUCUUGGAUUUAUUGAAGACUAACUACUGCGAAAGCAUUUGCCAAGGAUGUUUUCAUUAAUCAAGAACGAAAGUUAGGGGAUCGAAGACGAUCAGAUACCGUCGUAGUCUUAACCAUAAACUAUGCCGACUAGGGAUCGGAUGAUGUUAAUUUUUUAAUGACUCAUUCGGCGCCUUACA
rnacentral:misc_RNA from 1 species